rnacentral:rRNA from 1 species
UUUGAUGGCGACCGGCGCACGGGUGAGUAACACGUAUCCAACCUGCCGAUGACUCGGGGAUAGCCUUUCGAAAGAAAGAUUAAUACCCGAUGGCAUAGUUCUUCCGCAUGGUAGAACUAUUAAAGAAUUUCGGUCAUCGAUGGGGAUGCGUUCCAUUAGGUUGUUGGCGGGUAACGGCCCACCAAGCCUUCGAUGGAUAGGGGUUCUGAGAGGAAGGUCCCCCACAUUGGAACUGAGACACGGUCCAAACUCCUACGGGAGGCAGCAUG